GCAGGUGCUUGAUGACCUGAGGACACAGGUGUGCCUAACUUGUGGCCACUAGGAGAGAGGGAAAAACAAAACAUAAACAAAGCAGUGCACCACAUAGCAAGAGACUGCAGGGCUUGACUUGGAUUAUUACAGAUCUACUCUCAAACACUGCUCGACAAGAACUCAAGAAGUCUGCUCAACACUUCAGCAGCCACAAAAUGAAUACCACCAGUGCAGUGGAUGGUUCAUCAAGCCACAAUGCUGAUCAAGACUAUGAUCCAAACUUAGCCGGCGCUUCUUUGUCAAUAAACCUGAUCCUCAGUUUUCCUUUGAAUAGUUACGUCAUCUGGCUGAUACUGAGAGCUUCCAGAGAGUCUAUAGCCUCAGACUUCUUUUCUCUCAACCUGGCCGUGUCCGAGCUCUUUUUUUCUUUAUCCGGUGUGUGGUUUCUGCUUUAUGACAAGUUAAAAACUUCCAUUUGUGUUUCUGCCUUCAUGUUCUCACUUGGCCUUCUCUUUUCAGCACGCCCUCUCUUUCAGUGCUGCAUCUGUGUGGAGCGCUACGUAGGGGUUGUGCACCCUGUGUUAUAUCUGAGGUUUAAACCCUUGAGAUACAGGGUGGUCUGUUGUUCUGUUAUCUGGCUGAUAAUUUUGGUUGCAUGUUUAUACCAUGUGCAUACAUUUUUAAAACAUUUGUAUCUGUAUGCAUAUUUCAUACAAAGUGUGUUGUUGUUCUGUGUGAUGCUGUUCUGCUGCCUCUCAGUUCUCUGCGCUCUGAAACGCCCAGGACCAGGAGACAAAGACACGGGGAAGAAGACGAGUAAUGCGAUGAAGAGGAAGGCUUUUAAAAUCAUUUCACUGAUCAUGGUUUUCAUGUCCAUACAUUUCUUUUUGUAUGUGGCUGCAAUUCCCCUGCAAUGUUGUGUGGAGAGGUUCCAUUAUGUCUUUAAUAUUUUAUCAAGUGUAUCUUUAACCACUGGGUUCAUUCAGCCACUUCUCUACCUCCAGCGGUCUGGGAAACUUCCCUGUGUGAGAAAGAUCUAAAUGUCAACAUAAUUUAAUCUAAAUAUAUUGUGUGACAUUAAUUGUUACAAGAAUUUCUGAUCUUAUUUUGUGAAGAUCUAUUUCACGUUUGAAAUGUUUUGUAUAAUAGCAAAAGUUUGCAAGUAUCAA